rnacentral:rRNA from 1 species
CAGCACCUCAAGUGGUCAGGAUGAUUAUUGGGCCUAAAGCAUCCGUAGCCGGCGCUGUAAGUUUUCGGUUAAAUCUGUAUGCUCAACAUACAGGCUGCCGGGAAUACUGCAGAGCUAGGGAGUGGGAGAGGUAGACGGUACUCGGUAGGAAGGGGUAAAAUCCUUUGAUCUAUUGAUGACCACCUGUGGCGAAGGCGGUCUACCAGAACACGUCCGACGGUGAGGGAUGAAAGCUGGGGGAGCAAAACGGAUUAGAUACCCGAGUAGUCC